rnacentral:rRNA from 1 species
UGAGGAAUAUUGGUCAAUGGGCGCAAGCCUGAACCAGCCAUCCCGCGUGAAGGAAGAAGGCGCUAUGCGUCGUAAACUUCUUUUCCGGAGGAAUAAAAUCUUGUACGCGUACAGGACUGAAGGUACUCCGGGAAUAAGCAUCGGCUAACUCCGUGCCAGCAGCCGCGGUAAUACGGAGGAUGCGAGCGUUAUCCGGAUUUAUUGGGUUUAAAGGGUGCGUAGGCGGAAAAAUAAGUCAGUGGUGAAAACCUUCAGCUUAACUGGAGACUUGCCAUUGAUACUGUUAUUCUUGAGUAUGGUUAAGGUAGGCGGAAUGUGUAAUGUAGCGGUGAAAUGCUUAGAUAUUACACAGAACACCAAUUGCGAAGGCAGCUUACUGAGCCAUAACUGACGCUGAUGCACGAAAGCGUGGGGAGCGAACAGG